GACGAACGCUGGCGGCGUGCUUAACACAUGCAAGUCGAACGAAGUGGCGAACGGGUGAGUAACGCGUAAUCAACCUGCCCUUCAGCGGGGGACAACAGUUGGAAACGACUGCUAAUCCCGCAUACUGAAGGAGGGGAUUGCGUCUGAUUAGCUAGUUGGAGGGGUAACGGCCCACCAAGGCGAUGAUAAGUAGCCGGGGUGGCAGGAUGAACGGCCACAUUGGGACUGAGACACGGGCCAGACUCCAACGGGAAGCAGGAGUGGGGAAUCUUCCGCAAUGGAAGAAAGUCUGACGGAGCAACGCCGCGUGGGGGAUGACGGCCUUCGGGUUGUAAAGCUCUGUUAAUCGGGACGCGGUACCGGAAUAGAAAGCCACGGCUAACUACGUGCCAGCAGCCGCGGUAAUUC
rnacentral:rRNA from 1 species